UAUUGUAGCUCAGUGGUAGAGCAUCUGACUAGCAAUCACAGAGACCCUGGGUUCAAUCUCCAGUACACCAAUAA
rnacentral:tRNA from 1 species